rnacentral:rRNA from 1 species
AUUGAACGCUGGCGGAAUGCUUUACACAUGCAAGUCGAGCGGCAGCACGGGGGUAACCCUGGUGGCGAGCGGCGAACGGGUGAGUAAUACAUCGGAACAUGCCCAGUCGUGGGGGAUAACACUUCGAAAGAAGUGCUAAUACCGCAUACGUCCCGAGGGAGAAAGCGGGGGAUCGCAAGACCUCGCGCGAUUGGAGUGGCCGAUGUCAGAUUAGCUAGUUGGUGGGGUAAAGGCCUACCAAGGCAACGAUCUGUAGCUGGUCUGAGAGGAUGAUCAGCCACACUGGGACUGAGACACGGCCCAGACUCCUACGGGAGGCAGCAGUGGGGAAUUUUGGACAAUGGGGGCAACCCUGAUCCAGCCAUUCCGCGUGAGUGAAGAAGGCCUUCGGGUUGUAAAGCUCUUUCGGCAGGAACGAAACGGUGAGCUCUAACAUAGCUUGCUAAUGACGGUACCUGAAGAAGAAGCACCGGCUAACUACGUG